rnacentral:lncRNA from 1 species
CCUCAGCAGACAUAAUUAUAACCUCUUGAAAGACCCUGAGCCUCUAAGCUGCUUCUAGUUUCCCGACCGUCAGAACCUCUUUGAAGUAAUAAAGCAGGGUCACCCAUGGUGGACAGGUUUCAGCGGAGCUUCCAGACUAAGACAGACUAGGAAGAAGGAACUGCCCACCCACUUCUGAAAGAAUUGGCCAUGAAAACCCUGUGAAGAGCAGUGGAGCACCGUCUGAUGGAACACCGGAAGGUAUGUCUCUUAAAAGAGCUUAUGAAAGAUUCUUCUCAGGAGGGGUCCAGCCAGAGUCGUCACCAGACUGUCAAAGGGGUCCGUGGCACAAAAGAGUUUAAGAAUCUCUGGUGCAGACAAAGAAGAGAGAAAGAGAAAAGGCCUGAACCCUGGAACUCUCCAACAUUUAGUGAUUAAACAUUCAAGAAGGAACCAGCAAAAGACGCUCAAAUGACUGAGUUUACAUGGAGCCAACGAGAUUAUACUUUCUGCCAUCAGACAGAACAAGUAUUCAAAAAGAGACUAACUUUAACUACAGAAACAAAAAAAUUUUAAAUUUGUAUUUUUGUAUACCAGAGUUGUUGCCCAUGAGACAUUGGAGCAUACCAUACUGGGAGGCUUUGAAGCCAAAGGAAGAAAUAUUUCAAGGAAAGAGAAAUCAACCAUAUUAAAUGCUGAUGAAAAUGGACACUCGGAUUUGGCUAGAUGAGAGUUAAGUUGCUCUUAGCUGAGUAAGAGCAGUUUCGGUAGAUUUUUGGAGACAAAAGCUUGAUUUGAAUGGGUAAAGAAGAAAAUGGGAGAUGAGCAAAUAAAGAAAGCAAGUAAAGGUAUCUUUUUGGGGAGUUUUGCCAUAAGAGGAAGCAGAGAAAUUUGGAGGGGUUGCGAGGGGACCUGGAGUCAAGAGAAGCUUAAAUAAAAUUUUUUUAAAUAUUUGUGAUAUUCCAUUAUGCUGAUGAGAAUUAUGAUGAAAUUAAUGAUGCGGGAGAGAGAAUGGAUCACUGAAGAAGAGACAGAGGAUGGUAUCCAAUGGAAAGCUUGGUUUUCAAUUGGAGCAAGACCAGUUCAUCCAUUAUGACAGGAAAUUGGUUAGUGCCAUGAGUUAGUUUUUCAUAUUUAGUGGUUUUCUGAUUGUGUCUAUCUUUUGAUGAUGCCAUCAGCUGAGAAUGGGGAGUGUGGAAGGGUUUUGGAAAUUUGAGGAGAGAAGAUGUAGUUCUGGAGAUUAGGAGAAAUGUAGUGGAACUGCUGAGCAGUGCCAAAGGCCCACUCAAGAUCUGUGAAUAUGAAUUUCAAGAGAGAUAAAUGUGCUUAAUUGUGAGGUUUUCUUCAAAGGCAGCCAUGGAAUAUACAGAAGUGAGUUUGGGAUUUGAAUCUUUCCAAGUGGCUACAGGGAG